rnacentral:rRNA from 1 species
CGGCCACACUGGGACUGAGACACGGCCCAGACUCCUGCGGGAGGCAGCAGUGGGGAAUAUUGCGCAAUGGGCGAAAGCCUGACGCAGCGACGCCGCGUGGGGGAUGACGGCCUUCGGGUUGUAAACCUCUUUUACCACCAACGCAGGCUCCCAGUUCUCUGGGGGUUGACGGUAGGUGGGGAAUAAGGACCGGCUAACUACGUGCCAGCAGCCGCGGUAAUACGUAGGGUCCGAGCGUUGUCCGGAAUUAUUGGGCGUAAAGAGCUCGUAGGCGGCGUGUCGCGUCUGCUGUGAAAAGACCGGGGCUUAACUCCGGUUCUGCAGUGGAUACGGGCAUGCUAGAGGUAGGUAGGGGAGACUGGAAUUCCUGGUGUAGCGGUGAAAUGCGCAGAUAUCAGGAGGAACACCGGUGGCGAAGGCGGGUCUCUGGGCCUUACCUGACGCUGAGGAGCGAAAGCAUGGGGAGCGAACAGGAUUAGAUACCCUGGUAGUCCAUGCCGUAAACGUUGGGCGCUAGGUGUGGGGACUUUCCACGGUUUCCGCGCCGUAGCUAACGCAUUAAGCGCCCCGCCUGGGGAGUACGGCCGCAAGGCUAAAACUCAAAGGAAUUGACGGGGGCCCGCACAAGCGGCGGAGCAUGUUGCUUAAUUCGACGCAACGCGAAGAACCUUACCAAGGUUUGACAUCACCCGUGGACUCGCAGAGAUGUGAGGUCAUUUAGUUGGCGGGUGACAGGUGGUGCAUGGCUGUCGUCAGCUCGUGUCGUGAGAUGUUGGGUUAAGUCCCGCAACGAGCGCAACCCUUGUUCCAUGUUGCCAGCACGUAAUGGUGGGGACUCAUGGGAGACUGCCGGGGUCAACUCGGAGGAAGGUGGGGAUGACGUCAAGUCAUCAUGCCCCUUAUGUCUUGGGCUGCAAACAUGCUACAAUGGCCGGUACAAUGGGCGUGCGAUACCGUAAGGUGGAGCGAAUCCCUAAAAGCCGGUCUCAGUUCGGAUUGGGGUCUGCAACUCGACCCCAUGAAGGUGGAGUCGCUA